GCUUCUAGCUUCUUUUCCCUGGGUUCUAGACAAUCUCAACUUUGGCUGCAAAACUGAAUCAUCCAGAAAUCAUGACAAAAUACAGAUUGAUUCAAUGUGUCUGGGCCAAAUUUCUCCAUUCCUAAAAAACUCCCCGGAGAGGCUAAUGCUGCUGGUCCAGGGAUCAACCACACUUUGAGAUGCAAAGUUUUAGAAUAGUGGUGUCCAACUUGACUAUGCCUCAGAGUCUUCCGGAGAGCUUUAAAAAUCCAAACGUCCAGCUCAGACCACGUCCGUCAGCAUCUCUGGAAGGUGGGAUGUAGGUUUUAGGAUUUCUAAAACUCUCUGGGUGGUUCACACCCACAGCCUGUGUAAACCAGGCUUUGCACUCCCUUGAUUUCAGAGGUUAAAAGAACGCAUUUGAAGUCUUCAAAGUUUUCUUGGGUAUAUUCUCCUCAGGAAAUGAUCUCCCCAAGAUUUUCUUGGAAUGGUUUAAUAGUUAGCCUUUUUAAAUGUGUAUGCCUCCAGUAAUCAACAACAGGAAUCAAAUUGUCCCUUAAGAUGCAAGGAACCUGAGUAAAAUAACAGGCAGCAGAUCAUUAAUGCUACUGCAGCCAGCACAUCUUUUAACUGCUGGUGGGUGAUGUCUUACCACCCCUGCAAAGCUGUCUGAUUUAUAAGCAUGAAUGCACAGUGCAAGAACCGCUGAAUGGCUUCAGCUCAUCAAAGAAGCUUCUCUGAGAGUUAUUUUGAAGACUUCCUGCUGGGUCUUCCGCCCAUGUUUCUGUGCAUCCAUCUCUGAAUGGUCAAGCCUGUUGCUCCCAACUCCACAUGUACCUGGACUCAGCCCUCAGCUCCUCGUUAGUCUUACCAUGCUGCAGAGACACGCAGGCAAAUCCUCUACAACAGACUGUAGAUUGUGGUUGUUAAAGAGUGCUCCACCCACGGCUUUCUCCCAUUGCUUUGGGUUUUAUAGCAAGCAGCCUCCUUUCUAUGGUGUAUUAGCAUUACACAGUGGCCAUGCUGGGCAGAGAAAUUUAGGAGGCGGGGCCUGGACCCUCAUCCAAUGUACUAGCUCCUUUUCAUCAGAUUUCUGUGGGGCAGCCUGGCUGAGAUGUGGAGCAACAGCAGUUCCUCCUGGGUGCACAGAGAGGCAGUGUGGCAUCAGGCAAAGAGCUUUAAUUCAGAAGCGAGGGCGUCUGGUUCUUCCUUGAGUCUUCAGUAAUUUCAGUAGUGGUGUUUUAGUGGUUGGAGUAGUUGGAGUCAUUUUAGUAGUUGAAGUUUACUCAUUUGUAAAUCUGAAAUUAGGCAGCCUCCUUUGCGGGAUUAUCGUGAUCAGGGAUAUGCUGGUAAAUGUUUAACAGUCAGCUCUUUGGGGUGCCCAAAAAACCUGAUUGGUACUGUUUGCCCAUUUCCAUGGUGUAAAUACCCCCACCCUGGCCUAUUUAAAACUACCAACCCAUGGUAGCAUGCCAUUAUGUAGUGUUUCCAAAAUUCAGAGACAACAGAUACAACUUCAAGGACAUAAAUAAUGGUAAAAGUUAGUAAAAUAAGGAAGUGAUGGCUUUUGCAUAUUCAUCACCUUUUAAAAAUACAACUUAUUUCAUUUUAAAUUUACAUAGCUUAAUUUUAGUAAUGAAUGUCUUAAAAAACCAAUUCACAAAAUUUCUAAAAAUUUUUUAAGGUGGCUCUCACGGCCAAUAGAGGAUGGUUCCAGCAUUCUCCUGGAUGUGAUGACUUAAUGAAAAGUGAGUAAAAACAUCUAGCAUACUCUUUAGGUAUUUGUUUGCCAGGGCUGUCAUAAGAAAACAUCACAGACUGGGUAACUAAACAAUGGAAGUUUAUUUCCUCAUAGUUCGGGAGCCCAAGAAAGCCCAAGUUCAAGGUGUUGGAAGGGUGAGGUUUUCCUGAAGCCUCUCUCCUUGACUUGCAGAUGGCAGCCUUUUUGCUGUAUCCUCACAGGGCCUUUUCUCACGCACUCACAUCCCUGAUGUCUCUUCCUCUUCUCGUAAGGACACCAAUCCUAUUGGUUUAGGGCCCCACCUUGAUGACCUCAUUUAAUAUAAUCGUACUGGGAGUUAGGGCUUCAACAUAGAAAUUGGAGGCAAGGGGUGGGCACAAUUCAGUCACAGUAUUUAAUAAAUAUUGGUUGAAUAUAAAUACUAAGGCUUCAACAAUGAGCUGAGAAUGACCCAUCUUCCUCCCUUACAGGAAUCAUGUCUCUUUUUAGAUCCUACAGGUAAAGAAAAGACUUAGUCUAUGCCCAAAUAAACCUUCCCUGGGGGGUGGGUCUGCCCUCACUUGGCUGAGGCUAAUAUGCAGAUGGUCCAGUAAAGUAUAAAGAGCUACACAAAUGGAAGGUUGGGAGGCCCCAUUGUGGCUCAGCAGAAAUGAACCUGAGUAGCAUCCAUGAGGAUGCAGGUUCAAUCCCUGGAAUCGCUCAGUGGGUUAAGGAUCUGGCAUUGCUGUGAGCUGUGGUGUAGGUUGCAGAUGCAGCUUGGAUCUGGCAUUGCUAUGGCUGUGGCAUAGGCCAGUGGCUACAGCUCUGAUCUGACCCCUGGCCUGGGAACCACCUUAUGCCACCAGUGCAGCCCUAAAAAAAAAAAAGGAAGAUCGUUGUUAUGCUUACUUACUUUUAGACGUUCCUUUUCUCCCUUCCCUUUUCUACUAUUACUGGUCGUGUGGUUGUUUUAGCACCAGCUAAAAUUUCUCUAACUUGUGCAUGCCGUUAGGGAUGUUGUAUGUGCCACAGCACAUCAUGGGUAUGUGACUGCUUACACUGUGUGCUUUUUAAUUCUUUAUGCCUAGAGGCUAUGGAGCACAGAGGUUAAGAGUUCAGUCUCUAAAACCAGAAAGCCUGGAUUUGGAUCUCAGCUGCAGUUUUAUUGUCCUUGGUAGGAACCACAAGUCUUUUCAUGUUACAGUUGUUGCAGAAUUUAAAGCCCACUGUCCAAAGACCAUCAGGAAUACAUUGUCCAAAUGUUUAUCUUCAUUUAGUUCCCUGCAGCAAAAAAGAACGUACCCCAGAGAAACCAUAGUCAUCUGAGAAAGGAGGAAUUAGGAUGGAAUUGUAGUAGCAUCGGGCUUGUUGUGAGUGUUUCUGGGAAGUUUGGAGGAAGUUGGGGUGACAGUCCUAUCAAUACUGGGGAAUCAUUCAGUGAUUAGGUAUCUAGAUCACUUUUAUUUAGAGCACAAGAGCAUUUAACAAGACUAAAGUCACAAGUGAUCAAGAAGCUGUUAGUCACUUGUGUCUGUUGUAAGGGCAGAGUGUUUAGUCAUCUUUGUAUUUCAAGAGUGCCUUAGUCUUUGCCUUAUUUAAAAUAUUGUUAUGCAGAGAGUUCCUGUUGUGGCACAAUGGAAACAAAUCCGACUAGGAACCAUGAGGUUUCAGGUUCGAUCCCUGACCUCGCUCAGUGGGUUAACAAUCCAGUGUUGCCCUGAGCUGUGGUGUCACAGACGCCAAGGCUCAGAUCUGGUGUUGCUAUGGCUGUGGUUUAGGCCGGCAGCUGUGGCUCUGAUUGGACCCCUAGCCUGGGAACCUCCAUAUGCUGUGGGUGUGGCCCUAAAAAGCAAAUAAUAUAAAAUAAAAUAAGAUACUGUUACACG
rnacentral:lncRNA from 1 species